AAAGAGCCCGCAGCCCCAGCGGAGAAGGUGCCCUGUGGGCCCGGAACCGGCAGCGGAGGCACUUGCACUCGGGCAGCCACUAUGCCCAUCGACGCUACUGUGUCAACCCUCGGCAGUAAUCCCGUCAGGACUGUUAACUAUUAACACUCCUCGGAGAACUUAAGUAACUUGGCAGACAAGCACAAUUCCAGGUCUGUCAUUUAAUAUCCUCGACGAAGGGAGGGGUUACCAGUUUUGGAAGUGAGGAGACUGUAGCUCCGAGAAAUGAAAAGAUUUGCCCACACAACUAAAUGUCAGAACUGGAGCUGGAAAUAAAGUCUGUGACACUCCAAAGUAGAGGACCUCUGCUAUUCUGCAGCUACACCUGGAGGCACCCGGCUCUGCUGGUCUUUCUCAAUCUUCAGUGGGUCACCGGGAGUUAGGAUCAGUAGUCCUGAAAAGACUGAAGUCGGACUGGUCUAAAUUUAGGGUCUGGCCGAAGUCGACCACCAGCUUCUUCUCUCCAGUUCCCAGUUCAGGGUUCCAGACACUAAAUGUUUAUCUCUCCCUCAAAGUACACACCCCUCCCAUGAAGCCCAAGCAAGUUCCUCCCAGGCUCUGGAGAGCCGGAGCCUAUGUUCUUUCUCUCAUCUGCCCA